UGCUGCUCCCGCAGACGUAGGCAGUGAGCUGUGACUGACUGAGGCACUAAAGAGCUCCUCCCAGUGCUCUGGCCGAGGUGGUGACAGAGGUGGGUGACGGGCCUGCAGGCUGCUGGGCGCAGACAGGAUUCUAAUGCUAGACCUACCGCUGGGAGAAUAAAGCCAGGCUUCUCUGUCUCAGCAGCCUUACGCAGAGACUGGUUUAGUGGCCCCUGCAGAGGAAAACUGCCACACAGAGAACUUACAUCAGUGCAUUGAGGGUCUCAGACGGUGAAGAGGUGCGCCUGGACAGAACUUUACAGAAAUAAGAAUGGAGGGAGAAGAUUCACGUGGAACUCACCACAAAGGGCUCCAGGAGAGAUGGCACCCAGCUGCGUGCGUCGGCAGUGAUUUCCCUCGGCGGUGGCCACCGGAGCAGACUUGGUGACCUUCCUGCUGGUGGUGAUUCUCACUGGCAGCGACUGUCCACAGCACGUGCUGGAGGGAAGCUCCGGGGCUGCUGUGCUCGGUGACAGCAGCCGCUCUCCAUCUUCCAGUUGCUUCUGCUGGAGUGGCAAACCACCCGUGGGGUUUCGGGCAACUGUUUCUGUGGGUGGCUUUGGGAAAAAUCCUUACUCCCCGUUAGUUCCAGUGACUCUUGCCUCUGGGAAAGGACCAGCCAGCGGCGGUUCUCAGAACGGGCAGUGCUGUGUCUUCUGGAGACCCGUUUGAGGAACCUUCAAAGUAACGCAGUGGUGCCAACGCGUCCAGCCGCCCCCUUAGACCCUCUCGGUGCGCUCACUCCUGUUACGCCCAGAACGAACUCUGAUACUCGCUGAGGAGCACAAGAAGCGCACAGCUGUUCUUUCCUUCCGAGUGUCUUGAUCCAGAGGUUAAUGAGUCUCUGGUGAAUGGAAUUGUGAACGGACAGUGAAGGGCUGUCUAUGAAGCGCUUGCCAUAAAUGACCUGCCAUAGCUGGAGAGAGGACAUUGCCUCAUUUGGCAUCUUCUUAAUUUAAAUAGCACUUGGAUGUCUGGGCUUCUGUAUUCGAUUUGAUCCGACUGCCCUGACUUGGAGGAAGCCUUUGCAAGGGUGGCCGACUGUCAUUCCCCAGCCCCAGGCUGACAUAACCGGGCUCUGGAGUCACAGGGUUAUUUCUGGAGAAUAUGUAGGAAAGUCCCCGAGUCUCCACAAAGAUUUCCAUGGAGGAGUUUAACUGGGGCUGAACAAGGAAAAUGAAAACCAGCAGCUUAUAGAUACUCUCUUUCCUGGUUGUGGUCACAAGAUUUCUCCACGUGAGGGAAAACACUCAUUUUGACGAUUUAUCAUCCACCCGUCUUCACAGAAGUGGGCCAGACUGAGAUGCUGGGGCAGCCGCCUGCCUCCGCCUGGCAGGAACUGGCAUAGAGGCCCUCUCCAGAGCAGUGGGCGCGAGGAGGGAGAUGGGGCUGUUCCUUUCAUUGGUCCUGCCAGCAAGGAGCAGCCGCCCCACCUGCCAAGAGCUCGUCAUCAAGCAGGAGCUGACUCUCCGCCAGCCCUGCUGAGCUCUGGGGGAGCGAGGGGGCCCAGCUGACCCUUUGGAGCCUGGGGUUCCCUCGGGAAUGAGGCGAUUUCUGCGGAAGUCCUGGAAGCUAUUUUUGGAAUGGCAAUCACAUAUCCAUGGAGACGUGUGCAUGCCGGGGGUCACGGUCAGCUCCACCUAUCUUACCUCUGACUUAUUUCCUGACUUUGUCUUAUUUCUCUAUUUCCAGAGCCACAGUCACAAUGUUUCCUCUCACUGUUUACACUGUAUUCUCCCUGAUCAAUCUGAGUGCAUUCUGUUCCUUUAGACUCCAGCUAUUCUGGACUUUGUUACCCCAUCAUCAGAGUUAUUCUCCGUCAGACGCAGAUAGGAUCACAUAGUCUGCUGCUCAGAAACCUCCUGUGGUUUUAUUAAAAGAGUAAAAUCCAAAUUUUUCAGAUCAGCUUUAAACAUGCCAUAUGUGGACUCCACACUAUAUUUUUGGUUUUAACCCUGAUGGUAACUCCCCCUGAAGCUGACACUCCAAUCAAACCUGGUCUUUCACCUUUGCCUGGACCAAUCUCCACAGCUCUAUCAUGGUGCUGCCUACAACUGGGAUGGCUUCCUCUUUGUCUUCCACCUUUUCAAAAAGUGCUCCUUCAAGGUUCACACCUCCCCCACUGGGGUUUCCACGCCAGGCUAUGGGAAGUGGUUUUGUGAGUCAUGAGCACUUCUCUCACCGGCUCCCUCUGCUCUGCAUCUGUCUAGGACAAAGACAAAGCCUUUUGCUCUGCAGGUGAUGAGGAAAUGUAGCACGGGCUGCAGGAAGGCGGUGGAUGCAGCCCGGAACCUUCUGCCAACUCUGCUUUCCACUGCUUGCAUCCAUUAUCCCUCCCUGCCCCUUGGUGACAUCUCCAGCUGGUCCUGGUCUUCAGGUGUAGGGGAGUUCAGCCCCAAGAAUGGUUUCUUCUUCAGGGUUCAAACCUGAAGAAGGGUUUCAAAUCUCAUUCAAUCAGAAAUAAAAACUUUAACUCUUCAU